rnacentral:rRNA from 1 species
CAACAGCUCAAAUUUGAAAUCUGGCUCUUUAGGGCCCGAGUUGUAAUUUGUAGAGGAUGCUUUUGGCGCGGUGCCUUCCGAGUUCCCUGGAACGGGACGCCUUAGAGGGUGAGAGCCCCGUACGGUUGGACACCAAGCCUCUGUAAAGCUCCUUCGACGAGUCGAGUAGUUUGGGAAUGCUGCUCUAAAUGGGAGGUAAAUUUCUUCUAAAGCUAAAUAUUGGCCAGAGACCGAUAGCGCACAAGUAGAGUGAUCGAAAGAUGAAAAGCACUUUGAAAAGAGGGUUAAAUAGCACGUGAAAUUGUUGAAAGGGAAGCGUUUGCGACCAGACCUUUUCCUAGCGGAUCAUCCGGUGUUCUUCGCCGGUGCACUUCGCUAGGUCGAGGCCAGCAUCGGUUUCUGCAGGGGGAUAAAAGCCCAGGGAACGUAGCUCUUUCGGGAGUGUUAUAGCCCUCCGCAUAAUACCCUUGCGGGGACCGAGGACCGCGCUUUUUGCAAGGAUGCUGGCGUAAUGGUCGUCAACGACCCGUCUUGAAACACGGACCAAGGAGUCGAACAUUUAUGCGAGUGUUUGGGUGUUAAACCCUCACGCGUAAUGAAAGUGAACGGAGGUGAGAGCCCUUACGGGUGCAUCAUCGACCGAUCCUGAUGUCUUCGGAUGGAUUUGAGUAAGAGCAUAACUGUUCGGACCCGAAAGAUGGUGAACUAUGCGUGGAUAGGGUGAAGCCAGAGGAAACUCUGGUGGAGGCUCGCAGCGGUUCUGACGUGCAAAUCGAUCGUCAAA